rnacentral:misc_RNA from 1 species
AAGCCAUUGAGGAUAUAAUUCCUGAUUGCCCUUCUUUAUUUCCUUGAAGGGUGGAGUGCUGGGUAAAAUCUCUGCCAGGCCGAUGAAUAUCAAAUAUUCUUAUGGAUUUGUUGUAACCAGCAAAUAUCUUAGUCCCUGCGGGAUUGAAGGCAAUUGAAAAGGCAGCAGUGAUCUCGUCCAUGGCAUCAUAAGCACGGUAUGUACAACGUAACUGUCCAGUAGUAGCAUCCCAGAGAUGAAUAGGGUGAUCACGGGUAGUACUUGCAAAAACACAUGUCUCUGGACUUGAAGAAGACAUAUAGGGAUACCAGCAAUAGUCAUAUACAGACUCCCCGUCACUCAUGACAAGACUUGCAGCAUACGAAUCUGUAUCAGCAGCUGAUGAGGAAAAAUCAGCAAGCUGUCCACUUUCAUCAUAUGGCAAGUUAUAUAAACAAAAGGUAUUAUCAUCAGAGCAAGUGAGGAAACCAGAACCAUCAGGAGACCAUUUGACACCCUUUAAGAAAUUAUU